rnacentral:rRNA from 1 species
UACGAAGGGGGCUAGCGUUGCUCGGAAUCACUGGGCGUAAAGCGCACGUAGGCGGAUUGCUAAGUCAGGGGUGAAAUCCUGGAGCUCAACUCCAGAACUGCCUUUGAUACUGGCGAUCUCGAGUCCGGGAGAGGUGAGUGGAACUGCGAGUGUAGAGGUGAAAUUCGUAGAUAUUGGGGAAGAACACCAGUGGCGAAGGCGGCUCACUGGCCCGUAACUGACGCUGAGGUGCGAAAGCGUGGGGAGCAAACAGG